rnacentral:rRNA from 1 species
UACGAAGGGGGCUAGCGUUGCUCGGAAUCACUGGGCGUAAAGGGUGCGUAGGCGGGUCUUUAAGUCGGGUGUGAAAUCUCGGGGCUUAACUCCGAAACUGCAUUCGAUACUGCCGUGCUUGAGGACUGGAGAGGAGACUGGAAUUUACGGUGUAGCGGUGAAAUGCGUAGAUAUCGUAAGGAAGACCAGUGGCGAAGGCGGGUCUCUGGACAGUUCCUGACGCUGAGGCACGAAGGCCAGGGGAGCAAACGGG